GAUGAACGCUGGCGGCGUGCCUAAUACAUGCAAGUCGAGCGAACGGACGAUAAGCUCGCUUCCCUGAUGGUAGCGGCUGACGGGCGAGUAACACGUGCAUAACCUACCUAUAAGACUGGGAUAACUUCGGGAAACCGGAGCUAAUACUGGAUGAUAUUUUGAACCGCAUGGUUCAAAAGUGAAUGACGGUCUUGCUGUCACUUAUAGCUGGAUCCGCGCUGCAUUAGCUAGUUGGUAAGGUAACGGCUUACCAAGGCGACGAUGCAUAGCCGACCUGAGAGGGUGAUCAGCCACACUGGAACUGAGACACGGUCCAGACUCCUACGGGAGGCAGCAGUAGGGAAUCUUCCACAAUGGGCGAAAGCCUGACGGAGCAACGCCGCGUGAGUGAAGAAGGUCUUCGGGUCGUAAAACUCUGUUAUUAGGGAAGAACAUAUGUGUAAGUAUCUGUGGACAUCUUGACGGUACCUAAUCAGAAAGCCACGGCUAACUACGUG
rnacentral:rRNA from 1 species